rnacentral:rRNA from 1 species
UGCGUAGGCGGCUUUUUAAGUCGGAUGUGAAAGUUCGGGGCUUAACCCCGGAAUUGCAUUUGAAACUGUAAUACUUGAGUACUGGAGAGGUAAGUGGAAUUCCUAGUGUAGCGGUGAAAUGCGUAGAUAUUAGGAGGAACACCAGUGGCGAAGGCGACUUACUGGACAGAUACUGACGCUGAGGCGCGAAAGCGUGGGGAGCAAACAGGAUUAGAUACCCCAGUA